rnacentral:rRNA from 1 species
UACGAGGGGGGCGAGCGUUGUUCGGAAUCACUGGGCGUAAAGAGUGCGUAGGCGGUUAUGAAAGUUAGAAGUGAAAGCCCUAGGCUCAACUUAGGAAUUGCUUUUAAAACUUCAUAACUCGAAUUCGGGAGAGGAUAGCGGAAUUCUCAGUGUAGCAGUGAAAUGCGUAGAUAUUGAGAGGAACACCGGUGGCGUAAGCGGCUAUCUGGACCGACAUUGACGCUGAGGCACGAAAGCGUGGGGAUCAAACAGG